CCUACGGGGGGCAGCAGUCGAGAAUCAUUCACAAUGGGGGAAACCCUGAUGGUGCGACGCCGCGUGGGGGAAUGAAGGUCUUCGGAUUGUAAACCCCUGUCAUGUGGGAGCAAAUUAAAAAGAUAGUACCACAAGAGGAAGAGACGGCUAACGCUGUGCCAGCAGCCGCGGGAAUACAGAGGUCUCAAGCGUUGUUCGGAAUCACUGGGCGUAAAGCGUGCGUAGGCGGGUUCGUAAGUCGUGUGUGAAAGGCGCGGGCUCAACCCGCGGACGGCACAUGAUACUGCGAGACUAGAGUAAUGGAGGGGGAACCGGAAUUCUCGGUGUAGCAGUGAAAUGCGUAGAUAUCGAGAGGAACACUCGUGGCGAAGGCGGGUUCCUGGACAUUAACUGACGCUGAGGCACGAAGGCCAGGGGAGCGAAAGGGAUUAGAUACCCUUGUAGUC
rnacentral:rRNA from 1 species